UAGACCGCCUGGGGAGUACGGCCGCAAGGUUAAAACUCAAAUGAAUUGACGGGGGCCCGCACAAGCGGUGGAGCAUGUGGUUUAAUUCGAUGCAACGCGAAGAACCUUACCUGGUCUUGACAUCCACAGAAUUCUGCAGAGAUGCGGAAGUGCCUUCGGGAACUGUGAGACAGGUGCUGCAUGGCUGUCGUCAGCUCGUGUUGUGAAAUGUUGGGUUAAGUCCCGCAACGAGCGCAACCCUUAUCCUUUGUUGCCAGCGAUUAGGUCGGGAACUCAAAGGAGACUGCCAGUGAUAAACUGGAGGAAGGUGGGGAUGACGUCAAGUCAUCAUGGCCCUUACGACCAGGGCUACACACGUGCUACAAUGGCGCAUACAAAGAGAAGCGACCUCGC
rnacentral:rRNA from 2 species